rnacentral:tRNA from 1 species
UCCCUGGUGGUCCAGUGGCUAAGACUCUGAGCUCCCAAUAGAGGGGCCCAGGUUUGAUUCCUGGUAAGGGAA